UUAAGUACACAGUCGUCGCAAGAACAUAAGUUUAUUUUAGUUUAAAAAGUUUAUCGAUGUGCAAAGGUCGAACGGUGAAUUUCAUCUCGCUAAUUAUCGUACCGUUGAGAUAAUGCUCGUGUAACACUCGCAAAUACACCGUAUGCGCAGCAACCCUCAUUUUCGAUCGUAUAUACACCGUGUGCUAGUGAUUAUUAACUCCAGAUCGUUCUGUCCAUUACCUAACAUUCAUACGUCAGUUUAAUCGUUUUACCACCAGUAUGCCCAAAAAUACGUCAGUCAUCACACGCUCCAAGUCUGAUGUCACUGCCGAUUUUAUCUUACAAGCUAUUAAUCAUAUACGGCGUCCCAGGACAAAUUAUCGGCUGGUCAUAAAUCAUAGGGUAAUGAGCUCAAAUUCAGUCUUAGUGCACUUA